GGACCAUGAUUAAUUCAGGUGUU
rnacentral:siRNA from 1 species